CACCCACUGGAGACCUCAUGCAAGCAGAGUCUAAAGGCACCAUGUUGGGGUGGAGUCACUGCUCACUUCAAUGAAAGUUAUGUGCUCAUUAACACCUCUCUCUCCCACUUACGAGAAUCUCUGACGUGGGGUCAUGGCUACUUUGGCAUGGCUUUACUGGUGAAACAAUGGUGAGCGAGACACCAUGGAGGUGUGGACAAUACCUGUCUACACCACAUUCAGCCUGGACAGAGAACCAAAACUACACCUGUCUACAUGAACAGUCUCCAGUGAUACUAGGAGUUCUCCACGUGGGCCAUGUCCAAAGUAUCAAAAUCAAGAAGAUUCAAACCCAGGGUGCUAUAGGUUUCCAUGAACUUCCCCUCAGAGCAAUUGGGAGCAGGCGGUGCCUGAAGAAGGACUCUGGGGUGUGGAUUUCACACUAGUCCUUCAACCUCAAUCAGCUCCUGGGAUUUCCAUAUGGAAGAAGAUAUGAUUCCCACUAACAAGAUGAGGACUGAUUCUACCUCUGUGCCAAAUUCCACAGCCCUUUUGAGAGAGAAGCGUAUGAAGGACGAAGGAAUAGAGAAGACACAGGCUUUGAACUUAUGAACUGGGUUCUCAUUGUUGGGUUCCUUACUUCCCAGCUUGGUAUUGCCGGCUUGGUAUUGCCAGCUGGAACAUGGAUGAAGCUGGAAACCAUCAUUCUCAGCAAAUUAACACAAGAACAGAAGACCAAACACCUCAUGUUCUCACUCGUCACUGUCUGGGUGGUCAGGAUGGUGGCUCAUGGGGGCAGCACCCACAUGGGGAUGACACAUGGAGUGAAGUGUCCACCUGCCUGUGUCCACCCAGUGAGGCUGGGAUGAGACCCUGUGGAUGGAUGGCUGGUGACACUUGGGAGCAGCCGCAGACAAGCCAAUCACUCAGAGACUUAGGGCCUCACUGGGGAGGCGUGAGAUUUCCUUUAGUCCAUGGACACCAAUGAACACCACUCUACACCCAUAUCCAGCACAGAUGACAAAGAACACAGACCCCAAGAAAGGGCUGGUGGGGGUUACACCAUGCCAGGAAAGUUCCUGGGACUGGGAAUGAGCUAGACUCCACCUAUUGGUUGUGUGACUUGAGAAAGCAACUUAAUCUCUCUAACCUCAUUCAUGCAAUAACUACUCAUCAGGUACUCGCUGCAUGCCAAGCAUUGUUAGAGACUUUCGAUGCAGCCUUUUCUACAAAAUAGGGAUUUUUACCACCUACCUAAUAGGACUGAUGUUAAGUCCAUAAGACAUAAAGCAAUGACUAUAGUACCUGGCCCUCAAUUAAGGUGAGUUAUAAUCUCCUGCUAACAUACCUCUCCUUUUGGAAAUUGGGGGUCAGGAUGUGAUGGAUAAGAAGCAGGUCAAUUCAAAGCCUGGCAUUCAAGAGAAAAAUACCUAAUGGGUGACAAUAGCAAAUUCCCAGCCAUUUUGCUCUCUUUUUUGAAAAGAACAGACCAUGCGGGGCUUGGAAUGACCAAAAGUUAAGGCAACAAGUGCAGUGGCAAGGACGCUAGGCCCAGUCUGCGCCGCUGUCUUGCCGUGUGACUUAAGUUAAAAGCUUUGCCCUCUCUGUUCCUGGCUUUCCUCAUCUGUCAGAGGAAAAUAAUAAUAUCUG